rnacentral:lncRNA from 1 species
UGUUUGUGCUCAUACGGUCUUUCUUAGCUACAUGCGAGAUACCUUGCAAUAGAGAAUGCUGUAUAGUACCGAUAACGCGUUUCAGCCGGGUGAAAUAUUAUGUUUGGUCCGUUACACACUCAAGGCCUGGGAGUUCGAGUUAUCAUACGCCGUCAUCUAAGAAUUCAAAUAUGAGAUACGCGGUACCUUUUGAGAUGAAAUUUAGCGCGAGAGGCGUUGAUGUGACUUUGGCCUCGGUCAAUUGAGGCAGCCAAACUUGUUUGCGCUCUUACAAUUUUUGUUGGCUACAUGCGAGAUACCUUGCAAUAGAGAAUGCUGUAUAGUACCUAUAACGCGUUUCAGCCAGGCGAGAUAUUAUGUUUGGUCGGUUACAGACACACACACACACACACACACACACACACACACACACACACACACACACACACACACACACACACACACACACGGACAUGGGCAAUCCUACAGGUCGGGGCCCCCCUGGGCGCUUCGCGCUGGGGCCCCGCCCAAAAACGAGGAGCAGCACACUGGAGCUAUCACAUGGCACUGCUUGAGGCAUCAGGCGGCCUUAAGGCAUGCCAGGACAGGACAUUGGUCGGCCCCUGACCACCACAUGAUGUACAUACAUACACACACACACAGAUAGGGUGUUGAGCCAUCUUUAACAGUUCCCCUGCACACAGCUCUCAUCACGAACCGUUAAUACACACUUUUCUCACAUACACGUGAGCGAAUUUAAACACACAAGGAAGCAUUUAUCGCCAGCGACGCUCCUUCCGAACACACAUGCAUUCUAUCCAUGUGAUGUGAUGUGAUGCAAAAGGGUUGCCUGCAUGUUAUUCCCUUCUAGUACAUAUGCAUGGACCACCCUUACACGAUAGCUCGCAGGACAUACACACAUACGUACAAUUACAACACCGCAUCCAUUUGCCUUUCGCCCCUGUCAGGGCCGAUGCUUUACCGUUGGGUGAUAACUUAAUAUUGAUAAGCUGAUGGGUGAUGGCCCAGCAUUACAAAGAAAUAGACAGGCACAAUACAUAACAUACAUACUCACACCAUCUACAUAUGCAGUGCAGAUCCUGCCUUUUGCUUCUAGCCCCAGUGUGAGUGACCACUUAGUUUAAUGACACCGCAACACAACACGAGGCUUCAUCAGCUCGGUCCUAGCCUCUAAGAAACAACGUGAUGGGGACCUCGCCUUUUGAAAACCCUUCGCCUCGGUGCCCCUAGCUGCUGGCCUAGACAGAGUAUCGGUGCGAGCAGCCCCCGGUGAUCUGGUCGGGUCAGAUUUAUUAACCCACACGUCGCUCAUGUACUAAACCUGCUCUUAUGAACACACACAUGCACAUCUUCACACACACACACACACACACACAGACACACUUGCACGUCUCUUUAAUCUCUCCCCUGCCCUGUUUCCUAGCAUCUAGCAUCUACCUUGCCAGUGGUGAUGGUGUAACGCCGGUCUGACCUCGUGCAUGCACACACACAUACAUACAUACAUACAUACAUACAUACAUACAUACAUACAUACAUACAUACAUACAUACAUACAUACAUACAUACAUACAUACAUACAUACAUACAUACAUACAUACAUACAUACAUACACACUUUCUUUCUCACCUUCACCAGUAGUAAUGUAACUGGCGAACGUCAUAAAAAUAACCCUCUGAAACACCAUCCCAUUAUUCAUUCAGACUGGAAAGGUCAUAGGUUGAUUAGCCGGACAUCAAAGCUAACAAUUAUAGCUUGCAUAUAUACGUACAUCAGCCAACCAUUCGCAACCCAACUCAACUUGGCCCAACACCCAACACACAACCCGUAAUUGCCACAUGUUAACCAACCCAAUUCACAGCACCGAGGGGAACCCGAGAUCAACCCCGACAAGGAGCAAUAUACGAGAGCGGCAACGAAUCACUACCACAGUAAAAUUAGCCCCAGCGAGGUGGGUGAAUAGCAGGCAAGCAAGGUGCUGCUGCUGCUGCUGCUGAAAAUGUCGUGGCCCGGAUGCAUCUGUGCACGGAGAUUAUCUACGCAGCAGUGAGUAGAUUGGCCUCCGCUUUCAAGGGCGAGAGAAAUCGAGGUAGGGGAAAGAAGGAAACGAAACAAGCCAAGGGAAGCAGCUAUAGGUUGGAUAACCAGGGCGAUGGAAAUGGAGAUCAAGAAGAGAAAAAUAAAGGAAAGAGGUUGAGCGAGAGAGAGAAACACCGUCCCAACGCGAGCCAUGUUUACCGUACGGCAGGUGCAGUACAGCAACUGUACAGUAAACAAGGUGCUGUGAGCCCGAUAACCGUGUGAGCACGAUAACCUCCUCUUCCUAGUGCUCUGCUUCCGGCCAUCCAUCUAACU